CCCUUAGAUGUUCUGGGCCGCACGCGCGCUACACUGAUGCGUUCAACAAGUUUCCUUGGCCGAGAGGCCUGGGCAAUCUUCUUAAUAUGUAUCGUGAUAGGGAUAGAUUAUUGCAAUUAUUAAUCUUGAACGAGGAAUUCCUAGUAAACGCAGAUCAUCAAUCUGCAUUGAUUACGUCCCUGCCCUUUGUACACACCGCCCGUCGCACCUACCGAUUGGAUGUUCCGGUGAAGCCUCGGGAUGAGGACUGGUGCCUUUAUUGGCAUGAGUUGUUCAGAACUUGUCUAAACCUUAUCAUCUAGAGGAAGGUGAAAUCGUAACA
rnacentral:rRNA from 1 species